AAAAGUAAGUAAGGGCACAUGGCGGAUGCCUUGGCUCUCGGAGGCGAUGAAGGACGUGAUAAGCUGCGAUAAGCUGCGGGUAGGUGCAAAUGACCUUUGAUCCAGAGAUUUCCGAAUGGGACAACCCAAUAUCUUGAAGAGGUAUUAUCCAACGUUGUUGGAGGCUAACGCAGGGAACUGAAACAUCUUAGUACCUGCAGGAAAAGAAAAUAAACAAUGAUUCCCCCAGUAGUGGCGAGCGAACGGGGAACAGCCCAAACCAUCCAUGUUACGGCAUGGGUGGGGUUGUAGGACUACGUCGUUGCAUGAAGACAUCAGAGAAGAACUUUCUGGAAAGAAAGACCAUAGAGCAUGACAGUUGCGUAUUCGAAUGUUGUCGAAGCAUAGUAGUAUCCUGAGUAGCGCGGAGCACGAGGAAUUCUGCGUGAAUCUGCCGGGACCAUCCGGUAAGGCUAAAUACUCCCGAGAGACCGAUAGCGAACCAGUACCGUGAGGGAAAGGUGAAAAGCACUUCGAACAGAAGAGUGAAAUAGUUCCUGAAACCGUGCGCCUACAAGCGGUCGGAGCUCGUUAAUGAGUGACGGCGUGCCUUUUGCAUAAUGAACCUACGAGUUGCCUUUGCCGGCAAGGUUAAGUGUGACGACACACGUAUCCGAAGCGAAAGCGAGUCUGAAGAGGGCGUAUAGUCGGCAGUGGCAGACGCGAAACCAAGUGAUCUACCCUUGGCCAGGUUGAAGGCUGGGUAACACCAGCUGGAGGACCGCACCAAUAAGCGUUGAAAAGCUUCUGGAUGAGCUGAGGGUAGGGGUGAAAGGCUAAUCAAACUUGGAGAUAGCUCGUACUCCCCGAAAUGCAUUUAGGUGCAGCCUUGCGGGUUACUGAUGUGAGGUAGAGCGACUGAUAAGAUGCGAGGGCUUCACCGCCUAUCAAGUCUUGACAAACUCCGAAUGCGCAUCAGUUCUACCGCAGGAGUGAGGGCAUGGGUGCUAAGGUCCGUGCCCGAGAGGAGAAGAAUCCGGACCACCUGCUAAGGUCCCGAAAUGACAGCUAAGUUAAACUAACGAAGUCUGACUGCUAAGACAGCUAGGAUGUUGGCUUGGAAGCAGCCAUUCAUUUAAAGAGUGCGUAACAGCUCACUAGUCGAGGAGUCUGGCGUGGAUAAUAAUCGGGUAUUAAGUUGUCUACCGAAGCAGUGGGAUCAUUGAAAUGAUCGGUAGGGGAGCAUUCCAGUCAGCGUCGAAGGCGUACCGCGAGGUAUUCUGGAGCGUCUGGAAAAGCAAAUGUAGGUAUAAGUAACGAUAAAGGGGGCGGGAAACCCCCUCGCCGAAAGACUAAGGUUUCCUGAUCAACGCUAAUCGGAUCAGGGUAAGUCGGGUCCUAAGGCUCAGCCGAAGGGCGAUGCCGAUGGCAGAAACGGUUAAUAUUCCGUUACUACCUCCAGGAGUGAUGUGGAGACGCAGUAGUGACAAUGCCGCCAUCUGACGGAAUAGAUGGUUGAAGGGUGUAGAUGUUGAUCUUGGCAGGCAAAUCCACCAUGAGAAUCGAACCUGAUAGUAUGCCGCGUCCCUCGGGACAAGGCAAUAGUGCAUGUAAUCAUGCUGCCAAGAAAAUCCGCUAAACAAAAUCCUGUAGGUACCCGUACCGUAAACGGACACACGUAGUCGGGAUGAAUAUUCUAAGGCGCUUGAGUGAUUCACGGUUAAGGAACUAGGCAAACUGACCCUGUAACUUCGGGAUAAAGGGUCCCUACCCGGUGACGGGAGGGCGCAGAGAAUAGGUCCAGGCAACUGUUUAACAAAAACACAGGGCUGUGCUAAAUCGAAAGAUCCUGUAUACAGCCUGACACCUGCCCGGUGCUGGAAGGUUAAGAGGAGACGUCAUCGUUGAGAGAAGCGUUGAAUUGAAGCCCCAGUAAACGGCGGCCGUAACUAUAACGGUCCUAAGGUAGCGAAAUUCCUUGUCGGGUAAGUUC
rnacentral:rRNA from 1 species